rnacentral:rRNA from 1 species
GGAUUAGGCAUGCAAGUCGAACGAGGAAGUGCCCCGUAAGGGGCGCAAGCCUAGUGGCGAAAGGGUGAGUAAUGCAUUGAUAACCUGCCUUUGAGAUGGGAAUAACUGCGUUUCGAGCAAUCGGAACUACCGAAAGGGCUGCUAAUACCCAAUAAUACUAUAGGUGCAAAAGCACUUGUGGUCAAAUGCUAGGAAUUCUGUUCCUUGUGCUUAAAGAGGGGUUAAUGUCCUAUCAGCUAGUUGGUGGGGUAAUGGCCUACCAAGGCAAAGACGGGUAGCCGGCUUGAGAGGGUGGUCGGCCACACUGGGACUGAGACACUGCCCAGACUCCUACGGGAGGCUGCAGUCGAGAAUCUUUCGCAAUGCCCGAAAGGGUGACGAAGCGACGCCGCGUGUGGGAAGAAGGCCUUCGGGUUGUAAACCACUGUCGGGAGUUAGGAGAUGCAGGUGCGUUAAUAGCGCACUUGCUUGACUAAGGCUCCAGAGGAAGCCACGGCUAACUCUGUGCCAGCAGCCGCGGUAAUACAGAGGCGGCAAGCGUUGUUCGGAAUUAUUGGGCGUAAAGAGCACGUAGGCGGCUGUGUAAGUCGGUUGUGAAAGCCUUCCGCUUAACGGAAGAACGGCAUCCGAUACUGCAUAGCUUGAGUGCGGGAGGGGAGAGUGGAACUUCUGGUGGAGCGGUGAAAUGCGUAGAUAUCAGAAGGAACACCGGCGGCGAAGGCGACUCUCUGGUCCGUAACUGACGCUGAGUGUGCGAAAGCUAGGGGAGCAAACGGGAUUAGAUACCCCGGUAGUCCUAGCCGUAAACGAUGGGCACUAAGUAGAGGGGUUUU